GACGAACGCUGGCGGCGUGCUUAACACAUGCAAGUCGAACGGAAAGGCCCCUUCGGGGGUCCUCGAGUGGCGAACGGGUGAGUAACACGUGAGUAACCUGCCCUUGACUUCGGGAUAACUUCAGGAAACUGGGGCUAAUACCGGAUAGGAAUCCUUGCUGCAUGGUGGGGGUUGGAAAGCUUCGGCGGUUUUGGAUGGACUCGCGGCUUAUCAGCUUGUUGGUGGGGUAGUGGCUUACCAAGGCUUUGACGGGUAGCCGGUCUGAGAGGGCGACCGGCCACAUUGGGACUGAGAUACGGCCCAGACUCCUACGGGAGGCAGCAGUGGGGAAUAUUGCACAAUGGGCGGAAGCCUGAUGCAGCAACGCCGCGUGCGGGAUGACGGCCUUCGGGUUGUAAACCGCUUUCAGCAGGGGCGAAGCUUGUGGUGACGGUACCUGCAGAAGAAGCACCGGCUAACUACGUG
rnacentral:rRNA from 1 species